UCACACUAUCAAGCUUGGCUUGUUGUUGGGCCCUUUGUCACCUGGUGACAGGUCCAAAAGACAAUAACCGGUGUCAUACAGACUCUAUAUGCAACGAGCUUAUCACAGCACGCAUCUGGUAGUCGUGUGGCCCGGUUUUCACUUUGACAUUUAUCCUUUGAUAAAUAUAUUUCUCAA
rnacentral:misc_RNA from 1 species